CACGUAGGGGGCAAGCGUUGUCCGGAUUUAUUGGGCGUAAAGAGCUCGUAGGUGGUUCGGUAAGUCGGGUGUUAAACCCCCAGGCUCAACCUGGGGACGCCACUCGAUACUGCUGUGACUAGAGUCCGGUAGGGGAGCGUGGAAUUCCUGGUGUAGCGGUGAAAUGCGCAGAUAUCAGGAGGAACACCAGCGGUGAAGGCGGCGCUCUGGGCCGGUACUGACACUGAGGAGCGAAAGCGUGGGUAGCAAACAGG
rnacentral:rRNA from 1 species